CACGCCGGUAUAUUUGCUUUUCUAAGAUUUGGACUUUUUCCUUGUGAAAAUAGUGAAAAAUUGUGAGAUUUGCAAAACUUUAAACAUAAAAAGUAAAACGCUGCAAUUUGAAGAUUGACGACACAGUGAUAUUUUUAUAUUUUUCAACGGGGUUCAUUGAGUCCUACAUUUUAAUACCCUGUUUGGAUUUUUCUGCGAAAAACUCGCGGAGUUUUUAAGGAAAAACCUGGGACUACGUAGACACGAGGUCUUUGAUUCUGAGGUGCUACGGCAACGUGCGGCACACCAUUCGACGCGUCUCAACGAGUCCAACACAAAAACGCUUAAAACAUCGAGUUCCGAGAAGUUCGCAGAGGUACUUUGAACGCGAAAGAACGAAAAUAGAAGAUUGGAUAUCUCCGGAACCGCUGGUCGUAGCGUGACGGGGUUUUCGCCAUUGACAAGUCCUCUGAGAGGACUCUAGAAUUGACCACAGUGGGUGGCUCUACAUAGAGUCCGUAACGAAAAGGUAGAGUUUUCUCUACAUUUUCUUAGUUUUAGUUUAGGAUUAAGUUGUUUAGGGACCGGGGC
rnacentral:misc_RNA from 1 species